CACGAACCGUACGAACGUUAUUCGGAAUUACUGGGCUUAAAGGGUUUGUAGGCGGCCAUGUAAGUCAGGUGUGAAAUCCCUCGGCUCAACCGAGGAACGGCGCUUGAUACUGCAUGGCUUGAGGGAGACAGGGGUAGCGGAACUGAUGGUGGAGCGGUGAAAUGCGUUGAUAUCAUCAGGAACACCGGUGGCGAAAGCGGCUUACUGGGUCUCUUCUGACGCUGAGGAACGAAAGCUAGGGUAGCGAACGGG
rnacentral:rRNA from 1 species